rnacentral:rRNA from 1 species
GACGGGGGGGGCAAGUGUUCUUCGGAAUGACUGGGCGUAAAGGGCACGUAGGCGGUGAAUCGGGUUGAAAGUGAAAGUCGCCAAAAAGUGGCGGAAUGCUCUCGAAACCAAAUUCACUUGAGUGAGACAGAGGAGAGUGGAAUUUCGUGUGUAGGGGUGAAAUCCGUAGAUCUACGAAAGGAACGCCAAAAAGCGAAGGCAGCUCUCUGGGUCCC